rnacentral:rRNA from 1 species
GAUGAACGCUGGCGGCGUGCCUAAUACAUGCAAGUCGAGCGAACGGACGAGAAGCUUGCUUCUCUGAUGUUAGCGGCGGACGGGUGAGUAACACGUGGAUAACCUACCUAUAAGACUGGGAUAAUUUCGGGAAACCGGAGCUAAUACCGGAUAAUAUUUUGAACCGCAUGGUUCAAAAGUGAAAGACGGUCUUGCUGUCACUUAUAGAUGGAUCCGCGCUGCAUUAGCUAGUUGGUAAGGUAACGGCUUACCAAGGCAACGAUGCAUAGCCGACCUGAGAGGGUGAUCGGCCACACUGGAACUGAGACACGGUCCAGACUCCUACGGGAGGCAGCAGUAGGUAAUCUUCCGCAAUGGGCGAAAGCCUGACGGAGCAACGCCGCGUGAGUGAUGAAGGUCUUCGGAUCGUAAAACUCUGUUAUUAGGGAAGAACAUAUGUGUAAGUAACUGUGCACAUCUUGACGGUACCUAAUCAGAAAGCCACGGCUAACUACGU